UACUCGCCUUCUCUUUAGGAUGCAUUCAAACAAUGGUGGAAGCAAAAUCGACGAUUAACUGUAAGUUUAUCUUUACUAAAAUCCAAUUCAAUUCUUCAUCGAAUCUCUAAAAUGCAAAUGUGAAAAGAGUUAAUAAAUGGAGAAGCCUCACUAUUGGUCUUUAAUGGAUGAACUAGGGUUAAAUAUAAUUGGGAAUAUCCUUAGAGAAAGAUAGAAAAUCUAAGUAAUGGUGGUGGUGGGGUUUUAGCAAAUUUCCGGGGGUUUUUCAAGGAAGCAGUGGUGAUGAUCAAAAUGUCAAUGGUGGUGGUGGUGGUAAAUUAGGGUCAGGUUUAAUUCUGAUGAUGAGAAGAAUGGAAGGACCAAUUCAGAUUAGAAAACCAGAUCAGCCAUUACACCUGGUGAUGAGAACUAAGAAGAAAUUAUCUUAAGAGGAGAAAGGGUAUCUAUAAUUUUGGAGAUAACGCAGUAGAGUAUGGUCAAUAUAGAAAACAAUAGUGCAGAAAUGUCUUCUUCAUUUUGAGGAUGCAGAAUCAACGAAAAGGGCGUCAUGGUCGUGGAAUUCUCCUCUCCUGGCAUGGAGGUGCAGCUUUGAGGUGUUGGAUUGGAUAGUUUUGUUGGAGCUGUCCGUGCAACUUUGAAGGUUAUCUCCUCUUAUUUUAUGAGUUCAUACUUGGUUUUGCUAUCAAUUAGGAAUUAGUGUUUUAUGAGAGUCUUUUUGGGUGUAGGAUAAUGUCAUGGGAGUGUUUUUGGUGCCUGUGCAGGAUUAUAUAAGCAUUCAAACUCUUUGGCCGGAACUUUAGAUUUUUUGAUGGCAAGGCAGUGAAUACAAUCGAAGUGUGACUGAAGUUUGUUGUAAAGUUUUUGUAGUGUCAGAAAAAGUGCUCUGAGAAUGGGAACAUCAAAAUGCAACGUUGUGAGUACUACUGCAAGGGAUCAAUUUUAUGGAGAACAAACUACAUUUAAAGCUGCUUUGUACAGUAAUUGUUUUGAAUAUUCUACUGCUACCGACUAAUUUGUACAAUAACUCUCCAUGAUAAUUUUUUCAUGGAAAAUUUUAAAGAGAUUAGUCUAACUA